CCAGAUGACCCGGCCGAAAAACAAAAAGAACCACACAAACACCCUCUCUGAGAUAACCACUAUUACAUUCAAAGUGAGACAUCUAAGUAUUUGAAAUGACAUAUGGAAAUCAAAGCCCCCAUGGAGCACUCCGCCUGCAGAAGUGGUUCCAACACUGGAACAAAGUGACAUUACAAAACAGAAUUGGGCCAUUUGGUAGAUCAGUAGUUUUUCCCAUAGUGCAAGCAGAAGCAGAUGAUCAUAGGGGUGUGAGAAGGGAAAGACCCUCAGUCAUCUCAACAAUCCACCUCAACAGUCUCAACAAGAUGAGGCACUACUCCAUUUUGCUGUGUUCAUCUUAGGCCUCCAUACUGCCUUCUGUAAUUGUAUUUUUUGCUGCUUUUUCUCUGUCCUCCCCACUUUGCAAGGUAAGAAAUGUCAGAUGUCUUACACAGCCUCUGAAA